GUCGAAAAUGGACAUCACCGGCGUUACGCGGCCCUCGAGCGUGUCGAUCGCGAUCCGCCAGAGGUCUUCGGCGCGUU
rnacentral:sRNA from 1 species